rnacentral:lncRNA from 1 species
UUGAGCUGUUAUGGUAACUUGGUGAUUUGGUUAUGGUUUCAAUGAAUAAAUGUGCUGAUAUGGGUUUUGUGUCUUUGCAGACUGAUCUGCGUUUCCAGAGCCAUGCGGUGUUGGCACUGCAGGAGGCUGCUGAGGCCUACCUUGUGGGUCUGUUUGAGGACACCAACCUUUGCGCCAUCCAUGCCAAGCGGGUUACCAUCAUGCCGAAGGAUAUCCAGCUUGCCAGGAGGAUCAGGGGUGAGCGUGCUUAAGUGAUGCGCCUGUCUUGCAACGUUGAGGGCUGUUGUUAUGGCUGCAGAUGGGAUUGAAGGGGUGGUAUGUAAAAUGCAUCUGUGGGCGGAAGGAGGUGUUUU